AGUCCAGAGAGGAGGUGUCUGCAGCUAGCCUGUGUGUCUUGGACUCAAAGAGUGUCAGGCAGGCUUCAAAGGCCAGAGGCAAGGCAGAUAAAACAGAUUUUUAAAAAUUGAAGUGAAAAGAAACAGAUUUUAUUUUGAGAAUUUAUACACUGAGAGUAGGCAGCACUGAUGUAAAGUGAAAAAGGAUUUUUUUAAUGUCAUGCCUUCAUUUGUACACCACCUACAGCUUCAAAAUCCUUUUAUAUGUAUCCAUCUAAUCCUUGAGGUGGGUAUGAGCCUCUUUUGGCGGUCGGCAAGGAUGGGAAAGAUGACAUGAUUUCACGACUCAUAAAGAAAGUGAUGGAGCUGUAGCUUGAAUUCUUUUACUUCAAAUCCACAAUGCCAUGCCUUGCUCCAGUGAAGGACGGACUGCUGUUCUGUCUCCUAAAACCCACACAGCUCGCCUGGAGCUUCAAAUGUGAGAACACAUUCCAGCUGCAGGAUCAGAGGACUUUUCCUACAGCCCAUAAGUGCCUGCAGCUCUAUCGGAUUUGCAAAUCUACAAAAGAGAGCACAUCCUAUUGUUCCCGGUUUUGAGUUUUUUUAAUAGUAUGUCUUGUAAAAUGCUGGUUGCUGGUGGACAGGGGUGUUUUACAGAUAGGUGUGACUCAGGAGGGGAAAUGGGUGGGCAGAGACAGCCACAAGGAAUUCCACACAUGAAGGAAAUGCUCCCACUUGUGUUUUCUAUUUGUGUUUUAAAUUUGGGGAGCGACUCACAGGCACUCAGCAAAAGUAACUAAUUAUAUUAACCUUAUCAGUAGUGAGGUUUCCUGGUCUCUCAUCAGACACUCAGCUCACUGGCUGGUAUUUAAUUGGGAGCCUGGUGGCCAGUGAAAACAGUGUGGGAUGAGUCACACUUUAACAAGUUUUUAUAGUACAGCAACCUUGCUGUAUAAUAGCCAGACAUUAUUAAAAUUCAGAUAUGGUACACUGACUUGUUUGUUUUCCUUAUUCACAUGAAACAGAUGCUCAGGACUCAUUUUACUUACACACAGUAAAUGAGGGUCAGCUGUGUUGAGGGAAGUGAGUACUUUGUUCUGGAAGGAUAGAUGUUGUAGCAAUUGUCUUGCUCUGAUUGUAUUUGAAAAGAAUGAAUGUUGUUAGUACAAUUUGGUAUUCUUCCAAUGCCUAGUUGGAGUUCAAGGGAUAUAAAACUGGGCGCUUGAGGAGUGGGAUGGAAAAGGAUGGAGAAGGAAGGUCAAAUAUGGCUUUGAAGGGGAUCAGCAGAAGCCAGAGGCCGCAGUGGUGAACACUCCUUGUGAAUGGCCCUUUGCACCCACGGCUUGGUGAACCCAGCAUGGACCGUGGAGAGAGGACCUGCCUAAAAACCAGAGACGGGGUUUGCCUCUCCGCAUCACCACUGGCUUGCUGCAUCAAGAAUCUGCCUUUCAGCUUCUUCACCUGAAACAAGGUGAUUGGGAUAGCUGGUUUUAUUUAUUUAUUUUUGAGGCCAUUCUAGCACUUUGUAAAGUCCAAGGGGGUGUGGUAUUGUAAUUCUUGGAAUAAUACAAUGAACAUCAGAUGCUUUGAAGUUUUCCGUUCGGUGGAUUCUGGGAUUCUUUUCUGAAUGAGUGAUUACUAGCCAACAGGAAUCUCAUGGUUCAACCUCAAACUCAAAAGUUAUUUCGGGGAUGGAAAAUGAGACAGCUCUUGGCCUGUUACUGGGCUUUGGUGGAAACUGAAAGUUUGACUAUGGAUCAUCAAGUCACCAUGCAACCUGAACUGCCUAUCAUGAACUGGGUGCUUUCUGACCCAUCUAGCCAUAAAGUGGGUCAUGCACAGCAGCAUUCCAUCAUCAAAUGGAAGUGGUAUAUACGUGAUUGGGCUUAAGCAGAUCCUGAAGGCCAAGUAAGUUACAUAAGGAAGUGGCUCAAAUGCCCAUGAUCUCCACUCCUGCCACCCUACCUUCUCUCCUCCAGCCUGCACCAAUGGCCUCAUAGGGAGUUCCCUAUGAUCAGUUGACAGAGGAAGAGAAGACUAGGGCCUGGUUCACAGAUGGUUCUGCACGAUAUGCAGGCACCACCUGAAAGUGGACAGCUGUGGCACUACAGUCCCUUUCUAGGAUAUCCCUGGAGGACAGCGUGAAAGGAAAUCUUCCCAGUGGGCAGAACUUCGAGCAGUACACCUUGUUGUGCACUUUGCAUGGAAGGAGAAAUGGCCAGAUGUGCAAUUACAUACUGACUUAUGGGCUGUAGCCAAUGGUUUGGCUGGAUGGUCAGGGACUUGGAAGUAGCAUGAUUGGAGAAUUGGUGACAAAGAAUGUUGGGGAAGAGGUAUGUGGAUGGACCUCUCUGAGUUGUUAAAAGCUGUGAAGAUAUUUGUAUCCUAUGUGAGUGCUCACUGACAGAUGACCUCUGCAGAGGAGGAUUUCAAUAAUCAAGUGGAUAGGAUGACCCAUUUUGUGGACACCACUCAGCCUCUUUCCCCAGCUACUCCUGUCAUCGCCCACUGGGCCCAUGAAUAAAGUGGCCAUGGUGGCAGGGGUGGAGGUUAUGCAUGGGCUUAGCAACAUGGACUUCCACUCACCAAGGCUGACCUGGCUACGGCCACUGCUGAGUGCCCAAUUUGCCAGCAGCAGAGACCAACACUGAGACUUUGAUAUGGCACCAUUCCUCGGGGUCAUCAGCCAGCUACCUGGUAGCAGGUUGAUUAUAUUGGACCUCUUCCAUCAUGGAAAGGGCAGAGGUUUGUCCUCACUGCAAUAAACACUUACUCCAGAUAUGGGUUUGCCUAUCCUGCAUGCAGUGCUUCUGCCAAGACUACCAUCCAUGGACUCACAGAACGCCUUAUCCACUGUCAUGGUAUUCCACGCAGCACUGCCUCUGAACAAGAAACUCACUUUACAGCUAAAGAAGUGUGGCAGUGAGUUCAUGCUCAUGGAAGUCACUUGUCUUACCAUGUUCCCCAUCAUCCUGAAGCAGCUGGAUUGAUAGAAUGGUGGAAUGGCCAUUUGAAGUUACAAUUACGAUCAAUUACAAUGCCAACUAGAUGAUAAUACUUUGCAUGGCUGCGGCAAAGUUCUCCCAAAGGUUGUGUAUACUCUGAAUCAGCGUCCAAUAUAUGGUACUGAAUCUGCCAUAGGCAGGAUUCACAGAUCCAGGAAUCAAGGGGUGGAAGUGGAAGUGGCACCACUCACCAACACCCCUAGUGAUUCGUUAGCAAAAUUUUUGCUUCCUGUUCCCUCUACAUUACGUUCUGCUGGCCUAAAGGUCUUAGUUCUAGAGGGAGGAAUGCUGCCACCAGGAGACAUGACAAUGCCAUUAAACUGGAAGUUAAGAUUGCCACCUGGACACUGUGGGCUCCUCCUACAUUUAAGUCAACAAGCUAAGAAGGGAGUUACAGCAUUGGCUGUGGUGAUUGACCUGGACUGUGAAGAUGAAAUCAGUCUACUAUUCCACAAUGGAGGGAAGGAAGAGUAUGUAUGGAAUACAGGAGAUCCAUUACGGUGUCUCUUAGUAUUACCAUGACCUGUGAUUAAGGUUAAUGGGAAACUACAACAGCCCAAUCUGGUCAGGACUACAAAUGACCCAGGCCCUUCAGGAAUGAAGGUUUAGUUCACUCCACCAGGAAAAAAGCUAUGACCUGCUGAGGUGCUUGCUGACAGCAAAGGGAAUACAGAAUGAGUAGUAGAAGAAGGUAGUCAUUAAUACCAGCUAUAACCAGGGGACCAGCUGCAGAAAUGAGGACUGUAAUUGUCAUGAGUAUUUCCUCCUUCUUUUGUUAAAAACAUGUUUGUGCAUGUAUACACUUGUACUAAGAAAACAUCUUCAUUUUAUUUCCUUUUUCCUUUAUCAUGUGACAUAAGAUUUAUUGACUUCACAUCAGCAUUUAAGUACUGUUAACUUUCUGUAAUAGUAUUUGGGUUGAGGAUUGGUGCAUUUCCGGUUGUACGAAGGAUAGUUGUAUUAUGUUAGGUGUAAUUAUGACCUUAUUAUUGUCUUUAUUUGAAGAUUAUGUGUGAUCUCAGGAGACGUGUAUGGGUUCAAGUUGACAAGGGGCAGACUUGUGAUGGUUAAUACUGAGUGGCAACUUGAUUGGAUUGAGGGAUGCAAAGCAUUGAUCUUGGGUGUGUCUGUGAGGGUGUUGCCAAAGGAGAUUAACAUUUGAGUCAGUGGGCUGAGGAAGGCAGACCUACCCUUAUUCUGGGUGGGCACCAUCUAAUCAGCUGCUAGCAAAUAUAAAGCAGGCAGAAAAACGUGAAAAGGCUACACUGGCCUAGCCUCCC
ensembl:lncRNA Novel transcript